AUUGAACGCUGGCGGCAGGCCUAACACAUGCAAGUCGAGCGGAUGAAGGGAGCUUGCUCCUGGAUUCAGCGGCGGACGGGUGAGUAAUGCCUAGGAAUCUGCCUGGUAGUGGGGGAUAACGUCCGGAAACGGGCGCUAAUACCGCAUACGUCCUGAGGGAGAAAGUGGGGGAUCUUCGGACCUCACGCUAUCAGAUGAGCCUAGGUCGGAUUAGCUAGUUGGUGGGGUAAAGGCCUACCAAGGCGACGAUCCGUAACUGGUCUGAGAGGAUGAUCAGUCACACUGGAACUGGGACACGGUCCAGGGUCCUAAGGGAGGGAGCAGUGGGGAAUAUUGGACAAUGGGCGAAAGCCUGAUCCAGCCAUGCCGCGUGUGUGAAGAAGGUCUUCGGAUUGUAAAGCACUUUAAGUUGGGAGGAAGGGCAGUAAGUUAAUACCUUGCUGUUUUGACGUUACCAACAGAAUAAGCACCGGCUAACUUCGUG
rnacentral:rRNA from 1 species